rnacentral:rRNA from 1 species
UACGGGGGGGGCAAGCGUUGUUCGGAAUUACUGGGCGUAAAGGGCUCGUAGGUGGCCAACUAAGUCAGACGUGAAAUCCCUCGGCUUAACCGGGGAACUGCGUCUGAUACUGGAUGGCUUGAGUUUGGGAGAGGGAUGCGGAAUUCCAGGUGUAGCGGUGAAAUGCGUAGAUAUCUGGAGGAAUACCGGUGGCGAAGGCGGCAUCCUGGACCAUUACUGACGCUUAAGCGCGAAAGCUAGGGGAGCAAACGGG